rnacentral:lncRNA from 1 species
AUGAUGUGCAAAGAAAAUCCUCCAGUGUAUGUUUUGCAUAAGGAGACACUGCAUGAUCAACACCUGCAGAGAAUGUCAUAUGGAAAAACUACCCCAAAGAAGUUAAUGUCUUACCCAGGAUCACACCAUAUCACAUUUACUGCCUUGGCUUCUGCUCUGCAUCAAAACCCUUGCUAGACUGCUGCAGCAAUAUUAACCAAUUCCACAGGCUCCAGUGUCAGGAACGGUCACAGACAGUCAUUUGCUGUACUGGGUUGCUAACCGACGUCCAGAAACCUCUGUCAAGGACACAGUAUUGUCGGUUACAUUCCGAAACCCUGAGUUCUCAAAA